CAGUCGCCGCGGUAAUACGGAGGGUGCAAGCGUUAAUCGGAAUUACUGGGCGUAAAGCGCACGCAGGCGGUCUGACAAGUCAGAUGUGAAAUCCCCGGGCUUAACCUGGGAACUGCAUUUGAAACUGUCAGGCUGGAGUCUUGUAGAGGGGGGUAGAAUUCCAGGUGUAGCGGUGAAAUGCGUAGAGAUCUGGAGGAAUACCGGUGGCGAAGGCGGCCCCCUGGACAAAGACUGACGCUCAGGUGCGAAAGCGUGGGGAGCAAACAGGAUUAGAUACCUCAGUAGUCCCUGUCCUUAUACA
rnacentral:rRNA from 1 species